CCAUCAGCUAAGGAGCAGCAAUUCUCUAAUCAAGAUUCAAUUUGAAUUCAGCCACCAUCCUUUCUUAGCCAGUGCCAUUGUGAAAAGAUUUUGAAGAGUGUAACGUCUGCAUACAUCCAGACUCUACCUAUGGAAUCAUACUGAGUAUGUUGAUUUUACGAGAAAGAGUGUCUGGAAAAGUGUAAUUUCAUAGCUUAUUAGAAUACUAGAAUUAACAAAAAGACUAAGACAUUUCAAGAGGCAAUUCAUUUAUAUUUUACUUUUAGUUCAAGUCUUAUCCUGGUGAUUUGUGACAUAAACUAUCCAAAAUGCAACUCAAAUCGCCGGAUAAUCCAAAAGUUUUGAAGCAUUUACAAGAAUACAUAAAACCCUUAAAAGUAAUUAGUAGAACUUGAUGAAAUGAGUUAUGUGAAGUCAAGUUAUUUGGUAACUAAAUCUUGAUUAACUCUUACUUUGGUUAUCUUUGAAUGGCUAUUAGCAAUGCAAUACGAUAUUAAAAUGACCUUUUUCAUCUCCUAUUCUUUCUUUUCACCAUGGGUUUGCAUGUUCGAUAGAAUUCAGGGCUUCUGACUGAAUUUUAUAGGGGUGUACAUAGGUCGGGUUGGUUCGGAUUUUGCAAUUACCAAACCAAACCAAUUGUAUCGGGUUAUUAAAUCUAUAAACCAAACCAAACCAACCAAUAUCGGAUUUUUCAAUAUCGGGUUUUCUCGGGUUUCUCGGGUUUUUCGGAUUUUUUUUCUCGAUAAACUUGUGCUCCAAAUAUUUCUAUAGUCCUAAAUACAAUUUUACCGAUAACAACCAUGUCUUUAUUUUUUAGCGUUGACCUCAACUAUGCUAGUCAAUAGGUUAUAUGGUUCCACUUUAUAAAGGUCUCUACUUUAUAAAUUAUUUUUCACUUUACACCAAAAUGCUAAUAAAAGCUUAAAGCAAUUGACCUGUCCAACUUCAAUUGAACCUUAGAUAAACAAUUAGAAAGACCAGGUUGGAGUAUCAUGGACAAAUCAAUUGCUUUUAAGUAUUGUAAAAAGUCUAAUUUCUUUAAUUGUCAAAUCAACUGAACCUUAGAAAAAUAAUGUAAUACAAAAACUUCUUAAUCGACUAAAAAUCAUGCACCAACUUUCUUUUAAUUAAUUACCUUAAAGUAGUAAAGAUUUCAAAAAUAGUCAUGAAAUAAAUUGUAGUUAACUGUCCCUCUAAUCAAUUCUGAAAGGCGAGUCUGCAUAUUCUGAAAGAAAAGAAACAAUUAACAUAUUUAAUAUUAAGUAAUAUAAAAAAUAACUAUACUCAUUAAUAAUUGGAUAUAAAUUAUUACCUUCUUCAACUUGCUCAAUUUUCUGGACUUCCUCUAACAUAUCUUCAAACUUAUAUUCCUUGAAAAUACAUCAAUGUAAGAAAUACAUCACUCUUAAUUUUACAUAGUCCAUAUUAUUUAACCAAAUGAUUAAAAAUAUACGUAAAAAAGUUUCAAUAUAUUUUUAAGUAACAGUCAAUUACUCAUGUUAAUCAUCUAAGAGAAACAAAAUAAACAAAUGAAUUCGACAAUAGGGAGGAAUACAACAGAUUUGCAAAAAUAUUGCUAAUCUAAAUAAGAAAAAUCUUAGUUAAUUGGAAAAAACAAGGCGUAUGUAUGCAGCUAAAAGAAAACAUGUAAAAUAAGAAAGGGAAGAGCCUUACCGAUGAGAGCAAAAGAGAGUUGAUAGGGUUUGAGCUAAUUUUGGGGGGGGGGG
rnacentral:lncRNA from 1 species